UAGGGAAUCUUCGGCAAUGGACGAAAGUCUGACCGAGCAACGCCGCGUGCGUGAAGAAGGUUUUCGGAUCGUAAAACUCUGUUGUUAGAGAAGAACAAGGACGUUAGUAACUGAACGUCCCCUGACGGUAUCUAACCAGAAAGCCACGGCUAACUACGUGCCAGCAGCCGCGGUAAUACGUAGGUGGCAAGCGUUGUCCGGAUUUAUUGGGCGUAAAGCGAGCGCAGGCGGUUUCUUAAGUCUGAUGUGAAAGCCCCCGGCUCAACCGGGGAGGGUCAUUGGAAACUGGGAGACUUGAGUGCAGAAGAGGAGAGUGGAAUUCCAUGUGUAGCGGUGAAAUGCGUAGAUAUAUGGAGGAACACCAGUGACGAAGGCGGCUCUCUGGUCUGUAACUGACGCUGAGGCUCGAAAGCGUGGGGAGCAAACAGG
rnacentral:rRNA from 1 species